rnacentral:rRNA from 1 species
GAUGAACGCUGGCGGCGUGCCUAAUACAUGCAAGUCGAGCGAACAGACGAGGAGCUUGCUCCUCUGACGUUAGCGGCGGACGGGUGAGUAACACGUGGAUAACCUACCUAUAAGACUGGGAUAACUUCGGGAAACCGGAGCUAAUACCGGAUAAUAUAUUGAACCGCAUGGUUCAAUAGUGAAAGACGGUUUUGCUGUCACUUAUAGAUGGAUCCGCGCCGCAUUAGCUAGUUGGUAAGGUAACGGCUUACCAAGGCAACGAUGCGUGGCCGACCUGAGAGGGUGAUCGGACACACUGGAACUGAGACACGGUCCAGACUCCUACGGGAGGCAGCAGUAGGGAAUCUUCCGCAAUGGGCGAAAGCUUGACGGAGCAACGCCGCGUGAGUGAUGAAGGUCUUCGGAUCGUAAAACUCUGUUAUUAGGGAAGAACAAAUGUGUAAGUAACUAUGCACGUCUUGACGGUACCUAAUCAGAAAGCCACGGCUAACUACGUG